UGGUCGUCGCAUAUUUGUUCUGGCUAGAAGUGGAGGGGUGGAGGACAGUAAGUUCGUGGUCAAAGAGGUUAUGGCUAAGGAAAAAUUAACGGGAGGUGUGGAUGAUGUACUCGUGGUUGUGUUUGUCAUGGUUUGGGAAUAAUGUGAUUAUUUCGUGUGGUUAGAUUAUGGUUUAGUGAGGGGGGAAGGUUGCUAUGUGGAUGACAUGAUUGUGGUUGUUGUUUUGGAUGGUACAGAAAGCUGUUGUGGUUAAGUAGGUUAUGGACCAGAAAAAAUUUACGGGAUGUGUGAAAAAUGUGAUUAAGUUAGUUAAAUGAACAAGGUUGGAAGGUUCGUUUUGUUUAGGGUAGGAUUGUUGGGUAGGUUAGAUUAUUUCGUAUGGUUAAAGAAUCGUUUAGUGAGGUUGGAAGGUUCCUUUGUGGAUGACAUGACUGUGGUUGUCGUUUGUGAUGGUGAAGAAGGUUGUUGUGGUUAAAGGUGAUUGUACUAAACGCUGAGUUUGAAACUUUGAGUGUUAGGUUUGUUGAGCAUGUUUGUAUUGUGAACACGUUUAUGUGGUUACGAAAGUAUAUUGUGGACACGUUGAUGUGGUUACGAAAGUAUACUGUACAACACAACUACAAUGAAGCUUACCAUGAGAAGUAGAUAAAUUCCGAUUUGAUCUAAAGCAACCGGCAAGUUUAGUUUGUUGACAAAAGGUUACAGAGUAGUUUCUAGCCGGAUUGAAAACAAUAGAAAAUACAUAAGUUCUCCGAUAACUAGGAAGGCACAUUAGUAGAAAAACAUGAAAAGG
rnacentral:lncRNA from 1 species